rnacentral:rRNA from 1 species
UACGUAGGGGGCAAGCGUUGUCCGGAUUCAUUGGGCGUAAAGAGCGUGUAGGCGGCCUGGUAGGUCGGUUGUGAAAACUGGAGGCUCAACCUUCAGAUGUCGACCGAAACCAUCUGGCUAGAGUCCGGGAGAGGAGAGUGGAAUUCCUGGUGUAGCGGUGAAAUGCGCAGAUAUCAGGAAGAACACCCGUGGCGAAAGCGGCUCUCUGGAACGGUACUGACGCUGAGACGCGAAAGCGUGGGGAGCGAACAGG